AUCCAGAUGAUGAGUCCCAAAUAGGACGAAACGCGCAUCCUGGAU
rnacentral:hammerhead_ribozyme from 1 species